rnacentral:rRNA from 1 species
GAUGAACGCUGGCGGCGUGCUUAACACAUGCAAGUCGAACGAGAAGUGAAGACGGAAACCUUCGGGCGGAAGGCUUUAUUUCGAGUGGCGGACGGGUGAGUAACGCGUGGGUAACCUGCCUCAUACAGGGGGAUAACAGUUGGAAACGACUGUUAAUACCGCAUAAGACCACAGCACCGCAUGGUGCGGGGGUAAAAACUCCGGUGGUAUGAGAUGGACCCGCGUUCGAUUAGCCAGUUGGCGGGGUAACGGCCCACCAAAGCGACGAUCGAUAGCCGAUCUGAGAGGAUGACCGGCCACAUUGGGACUGAGACACGGCCCAAACUCCUACGGGAGGCAGCAGUGGGGAAUAUUGCACAAUGGGGGAAACCCUGAUGCAGCGACGCCGCGUGAGUGAUGAAGUAUUUCGGUAUGUAAAGCUCUAUCAGCAGGGAAGAAAAUGACGGUACCUGAGUAAGAAGCCCCGGCUAACUACGUG